rnacentral:tRNA from 1 species
UUAGCUCAGUUAGUUAGAGCAUGGUGCUAAUAACACCAAGGUCAUGGGUUAGAUCCCCCUA